AGAGCAAUCACUGUUCUUAAGUAUUUUUCCUUCUGUAAUUUCUUUUUUUUUUUUUUUAAAGAUUUUAAAAUUUAUUUAUUCAUGAGAGACACAGAGAGAGGCAGAGACGCAGGCAGAGGGAGAAGCAGGCUCCAUGCAGGGAGCCUGAUGUGGGACUUGAUCCCAGGACGCCGGGGUCAUGACCUGAGCCAAAGGCAGUUGCUCAACCAGUGAGCCACCCCUCCUGCAAUGCUCCCCUCCUGUAAUUUCUUUAAAGGAAAUCUCAAGAAGCCUCAGGAGUUUCUGAGAAUGUCUACAAAUUUAAGAAGAAGAAUUUUAAGAAGACAAAAUAGAAUCUGAAUUUAAGAAGAAUGUAAGACAAAAUAGGAGAUAAGAGAGUAACUAAUGCAUGAGAUACUCAGAGAUGAACCUCAGAAUCUCAGAAAUGCUGUUUGGAAUACAUCUGAAGGACUGCUGUGUAUCACCUCUACAAUAAGUAACACUGAGAAAAAGGAAAACUGAAAAAUAGACGUGAGAUAUUUUAUGACCUUGUCCUUCGUUGUAAAGGACUGGGAUCUAGAGAACAACCUGACGUGUCUACUUUCAGACCUCUGGUGACUCCCAGGGAGAAAAAGAGGAGGCAAAGCAGUGCUGGUGGCUUCUUUCUGGCCAUGCACGUGAUGAUAAAAAGAGGACGCUGUGUCCUUUGCCUUCUGUCUACCGUGGAGGAUGUGUGAAGCGAAGUGCUAACGUGAGGCCACCAGAGAAACUUCCGGGAAAUGUAAGUGCACACUCAGCUGAUGGAAAGGCACAGCGAGGUGUGUGUGUCAUAGAUCCUCCCUUGCUCAAAAUUUAACUAGAGAA
rnacentral:lncRNA from 1 species